rfam:Agrilus planipennis Contig28463, whole genome shotgun sequence.
AUGACUCGAAAAUAAAGAGAGCUAUCCGUCGACAGUACAGACUUUACACUGUCAUGGAAUUGCUCUCUUUAUGGACGAGUUA